UUAACUGUCCUGAAGAAAAAGUCCUC
rnacentral:piRNA from 1 species